UACGGAGGAUGCGAGCGUUAUCCGGAUUUAUUGGGUUUAAAGGGUGCGUAGGCGGGUUAUCAAGUCAGCGGUAAAAUCGUGGAGCUCAACUCCAUCCAGCCGUUGAAACUGAUGAUCUUGAGUGGGCGAGAAGUAUGCGGAAUGCGUGGUGUAGCGGUGAAAUGCAUAGAUAUCACGCAGAACUCCGAUUGCGAAGGCAGCAUACCGGCGCCCGACUGACGCUGAAGCACGAAAGCGUGGGUAGUCGAACA
rnacentral:rRNA from 1 species